rnacentral:rRNA from 1 species
GGCUCAGAUUGAACGCUGGCGGCAGGCCUAACACAUGCAAGUCGAGCGGUAGCACAGGAGAGCUUGCUCUCUGGGUGACGAGCGGCGGACGGGUGAGUAAUGUCUGGGAAACUGCCCGAUGGAGGGGGAUAACCACUGGAAACGGUGGCUAAUACCGCAUAACGUCUACGGACCAAAGAGGGGGACCUUCGGGCCUCUUGCCAUUGGAUGUGCCCAGAUGGGAUUAGCUAGUAGGUGGGGUAACGGCUCACCUAGGCGACGAUCCCUAGCUGGUCUGAGAGGAUGACCAGCCACACUGGAACUGAGACACGGUCCAGACUCCUACGGGAGGCAGCAGUGGGGAAUAUUGCACAAUGGGCGCAAGCCUGAUGCAGCCAUGCCGCGUGUGUGAAGAAGGCCUUCGGGUUGUAAAGCACUUUCAGCGAGGAGGAAGGCCAAUAGCUUAA